GAUGAACGCUGGCGGCGUGCCUAAUACAUGCAAGUCGAGCGAACAGACGAGGAGCUUGCUCCUCUGACGUUAGCGGCGGACGGGUGAGUAACACGUGGAUAACCUACCUAUAAGACUGGGAUAACUUCGGGAAACCGGAGCUAAUACCGGAUAAUAUAUUGAACCGCAUGGUUCAAUAGUGAAAGACGGUUUUGCUGUCACUUAUAGAUGGAUCCGCGCCGCAUUAGCUAGUUGGUAAGGUAACGGCUUACCAAGGCAACGAUGCGUAGCCGACCUGAGAGGGGGGAUCGGCAACCGUGGACAUGAGAAGCGGGCCAGACUCCUAGGGGGGGCAGCAGGAGGGAAUUUUCGCCAAUGGGCGAAAGCCUGACGGAGCAACGCCGCGGGGGUGAUGAGGGUCUGCGGUUCUUAAAACUUUUUUAUUAGGGAAGAAAAAAUGUGAAAGUAACUAUGCACGUUUGGACGGGACCAAAUAAAAAAGCCACGGCGAACUACGG
rnacentral:rRNA from 1 species